rnacentral:rRNA from 1 species
CCCUUAGAUGUUCUGGGCUGCACGCGCGCUACACUGAUGCGUUCAACGGGUUUUUGACCUUGCCUGACACGGUUGGGUAAUCUUGUUAAAACGCAUCGUGAUGGGGAUAGAUUAUUGCAAUUAUUGGUCUUCAACGAGGAAUGCCUAGUAAGCGCAAGUCAUCAGCUUGCGUUGAUUACGUCCCUGCCCUUUGUACACACCGCCCGUCGCUCCUACCGAUUGAAUGGUCCGGUGAAGCGUUCGGACCGUGGCCUUUGGACGGUUCGCCGUCUGUUGGCUGCGGGAAGUUCGUUAAACCUUAUCAUUUAGAGGAAGGAGAAGUCGUAACA